GUUUAUUUGCUUCUAAUGGUUGCGUCAUAUGUUGACAGAAAUUAUUGGAGACAAGGUGCUCACCAUGCUACAUUGCGGAUAUGUUCGAAGAUCUAGAAACAAACCAGGUCCAAGCAAAGCUACAGGAGAUAGAAGCAAUGGGUUUUGGUUUCCUGAAGCUAGUCCUAAGGUGGCAUGUGAAACAAAGCAUAAUUAUUUUGUUGGCUAAGGCCUACAACACUGAAACAGGCACGCUGCCUGUUGAUCAUGGAAACAUCCGCAUUGAACCUGAGUUGUUUCAGAGUGUUUUCGAAAUCCUGCCCAGAGUUGACGACUUUCCACCGUUUGACCGAAGGAAUGCUGCUCAUAUCGCAAUUAAAAGAAGAUUUCACCCGUUGAAAACCAUACAACUUAGGCAUUUUGUCGACCACUGUGCUAUGCAUACUGCAGACGACAGGAUGGAGUUCAGGAGGCAUUUCAUCCUAUUCGUGCUGAAGAUGUUCUUGUGUAUGACAGUGCAACACGUCAUCUUGCUGUGGUACAUCGAUACAAUACUCGAUGUUUCUGAUCCCAUGAGAUAUCGUUGGCCCUUGCAUAUUUUCAACUGGUUAAAAUAGGCGAUCAAGAACUAUCAACUUAAAAACAACAAGUCAUGUUUUGUACUUCUAGAAGCUAAAGCAUGGUGAACCCGAGAAUUGUCAAGAACCUGAGUCGUGGCUUUCUGCAUGGACUGCCACAGAGCUUAGUGCUAUGGCAUCAAUUGUUCAACCAAAGUAAUGGUUGUGUCUUCUGUUUCAACCGUACAUUGAUGUGUCCUCGCUGGAUGUGUCUUAAGUUGUAUGUGCCUUCUGACUAGUUGAUGCUCCGAACAAGAUAGCAGCAACACCAGUGGGAAUGAUAGGGGCGUCGUCGAAGGUCACACGAAUAAGGUCAUGAUUCUGAAAGAGAAGACGCGCACUAGACAAAAAGACCUAUAGGGUCCACAAAAGGAUCUAAUAAGAGAGGGGGAGUUAGAAAUGGCUCAAUGCACACAGAUGCACCUGCAAUUGCAUUGGACGGGGAUGACGAUGAUGACGAGCCCAUUGCCAAAAGACUGCGUAGAAAAAUUGAUUGGACAAGAACACCUUAACCUCGUAUGAGAAAAGGGGACACCAGCACGACCAGUGAGACAAACACAACAGAGAAACCAAAAGGAUCCGACAAGAAGAGGAAGUUAGCAGCAGCUCAAUGCGCACAAAUGCACUUUUAGUUACAUCCCACGAGGAUGACGAUGACGACAAGCCCAUUGGCAAGAAACUCCACAGCAAAACGCAUCGGAGAAAAACACCUCAGCAUCAUAGGACGGAAGGGGACAUUGGCAUAACCAGCCAGCCAAAAACAACAAAGCAACCAACCGACCUGGACGAUUCUGAACCAAAAGCUCUGUCAACAGCAUUGGUAUAGUAUUCAGGAAUUGAUGAAUAUUCUAGUGAAUUUUUUGAUAGGCAAGUGAAUGCUAAAAAAUUUUGUGCAGCUAGUAUACAUAGUUUUUAUAUCGGCUCCUUAAAAUGCAUAAAGGUUGCCCACCUCACAAAGUUAUUUUUGAAAUAGAAAUCCUGACAUCUUAUCUCAGCGAGAUCCAUAGUGCAAAAAGUUAUGGGCAAAUAUCGAAUGAUGUUACGGCUCGAAACCCAUUAGUGUGGAUCCAAUUCAAACCAUUAUUCCAAAAGAUUCUUGUUGCCGUACACCCAGUCCACAGUGUCUCUCAUUCUCACUUGGGAUGACCCAGAUCUUCAAAACACCCACGCCGUCCUCCUUGGCCCGUUCAUCCGUUACUUCAGGAACGGAAACUCACUGAGUGGGAUGAACAACGAAUCAGAGGGUGGGGUGUGGACAUAUCUCUUGAUAGCCAGCAAACAGUGGCGUCGUAUGACGAUAGACCACACCUAGUCUUGGCAACGGAGGAGUUGUAUAUAUUGAGACCACAAUUUUGGCUCAAUAACAAUGUUGUGCAGUGGAUGUGUUGCGCAUUCAAUGACUCGGGGUUAAAAAGAUUUAUGCAUGACUUCUAUUGCGUGCGUCCAAAGAUACUGGAAAUGGUGUUGGUACCAAAAAAUCUGAUAGACUUUGAGGACGGACCAACUCCCAUGUAUGUGGGUUUGGGUGAACACUUUGGUGCCGACACAAGGUAUUUUGACAAGGGGAGGUUCAUUGAAGACAUAGCUCAGGUGGCCAUUCUCAUGUAUAAGCCCACUCAAAAAGGUUUGCCUUGCACAUACGCCUCUAUUCCAAUACAACCAAAUAGGUGAGUCCUCCUCAAAAUCUUGCAAUAUCUUAAUUGGUAAGUUUCAUUGAGAUGCAUACCGGUUCUCCUAAUACAGUUCGUUAUUUCCAUUCACAUAGUUUUGAUUAUGGUGUAUAUGCAAUAAAAUUCAUGGAGUAUUUGACCAAAGGCGGGAAACUGAAUGACUAUGAUUAUUUGAGUUUUCAAAUUCUAUAGUUAAAUAACUGAUUAUCUAAACGCACAUCACUGUCUGUACCUAAAUGCAGUCAUUCAACAUUGAUUUUCACAUACAGGACACCAUCAAGUUAUACAAGUUGGAAAUAAUGCUUGACAUCAUUCUGGGUCAUAAAAAUUCAACCAUUGGAGAGGCACUGAAUGCCCUUGACAGCCGUCCUCAACCUGCUGUGCGCCGCAACCAACCAAGGAACAAACAUAAAGAGGUUAGGACACCUUACAACACUUGGCAUAAAGAGCAUGCUUCAACGAGCUGCAGGAUUGCCAAAGAAAAAGCCCAUCAAAAUGAGCUAAACAUGAGAAGAAAAAAGAUGCAUAUUACAUUCCUCUUUACAUAGGCCAGAGAUACCCUCACAUGCUAAGCUAUAUUUUAUUAAAACUUGAUAUUUUUCUUGUCUUACACAUAGUGAAUGUUUGUUUUGGAUUCUUAUGUUGUUAGCGGGCACUUGUUUUGUGAACCUUGUUGACUUUGUUGGUUAAUUCAACGAGAAUGCAUGUACUGUGGAUGUGAAUUUUGUCUUUCAGAGAUUGGUUUGUCUUUUUUUCACAUGCUAAACACUUGUUACGUUUUAAAGUGUUUUUAU